GUGAUAGAGAAAUAUACAGAGGAAAGGAAACACACAGAAAGACAGAGAUAGAGCAUUUCUGAAACCCUAGCUACCAGUACUCCACCCCCAAUUUCACCAUACAAGUUUGUCUAAAAAAUUUCCAUGCAUUUCAGCUCAUAUUUAAGGAAAAAUAUUUGAGAAAGCUCUCCGGAUAAGAAUGCUAAUACACAUUUUGUUGGGAUUCAAGAUCGUAUCAUUUUGGGAAGCACUGAUAAAUAGUCUGUCCUUACUUAACAAAGUUAAGCUUUUGAAUAGAGAAAAGGUUUUAUUUGCCUUGUGACUUCCUUGUUUUUGGAAUUGGAGGUGCAAGGUGGUUUCUGGUUCACAUCUUCUAAAGUUUAGUUGCAGUAUCACUGUCAAAUGUCAGAAGGUGUCAUGGCGGUAGUCAAACCUGAGAUGAAGUCUUACAUCUGGCUUCAGACCGCUGACGGCUCAAUCCAACAAGUAGAAGAAGAGGUUGCCAUGUUUUGUCCCAUGAUCUGCCGAGAAAUACUGCAGACAGGGAUGGGAUCUUCCAAAAACUAUGCUAUAUCACUUCCUCAACGAGUUAACCCUGCCAUUUUGGGCUUAAUACUUGACUACUGCCGGUUUCAUCAAGUACCAGGUCGCUCUAAUAAGGAACGCAAAACUUUUGACGAGAAAUUUAUUCGAAUGGAUACAAAAAAGUUAUGUGAGUUGACAUCUGCCGCUGACAGCCUCCAAUUGAAGCCUUUGGUUGAUCUCACUAGCCGAGCACUUGCUCGAAUUAUUGAAGGAAAAACACCUGAGGAGAUACGUGAGACAUUCCAUUUACCUGAUGAUCUCACAGAGGAGGAGAAGUUGGAACCUUUGAGAAACAUAACUGAUGAUCCACGUAUCCGGCUUCUUAAUCGGUUAUAUGCUAGAAAGAGGAAAGAAUUAAAAGAGAGAGAGAAACUGAAGGUGCUUACUUUUACUUGAAGACGUGUCGAUGAACGUUCAGUCGAUGACCUCUUGACUUUUAUAAAUGGUGGAAGUGGAGAGUCAAAGGGGGUUAAGACCAAUAAGAAUAAAAAGAAAAAUCGGAGAAGAAAAGAUCAUCCAAAAGACUCUUCAACCAGUGUAAAUGGAAGCCAUAAUAAGGACUUGGAUGCUCUUUCUUCUGAUUACCAUGAUGGUGACAUUAUCAAUGUUGAGUCGCCAUCUCCCAGUUCUUCGAAGUUGCAAGAUUCUACAUCAGUUACCUUUUCACCAAAGCUUGAGUUUGAUGAUUGUGAUAUUGAUGAUGAUUUAGAUCCUGCCAUGAAGGAGGAGCUUGACAGGGAAGUGGAGGAUUUUGCACGAAGAUUAAACUCAGAUUGGCCGGAAAGAAUGCAGGAAAUUUUAUCAUUGGGCCAAGAGAGGAGGCUUGCACCUAUAAAUAUAAAUGGCAAUGGCUCUGCGCAUAGAUAUACAAGUUUGGACAGGAGAUAAUGAGAGGAUUAUUUAAUCGGAAUGUCCAGCAACUCGAGUGAUUGGAAGAGAAGCUACCCAUGGGGGUUGCUGCUGCAGAAGCUUAAAAGAGGGAGCAGUGUUUUUGGUGUUGACGGCAUGUGAGUAUAUUUGUUUGUUUUUCCAUCACCAAAUGCAAUUUUCGUUCUGUGGCAUCUUCUAUGUUGAAGAAAGGAAAGAGACAGAUGUUUAAAAAAAAGAAAGGAACUCGGAGGCUACAACAGGAGCAAAGUUUCCUCCUUGUCUCGAGAGCUUAUUUUCUCUUUUUGGUUGUUUAAGAGGAACUAAUUUCCUCUGUUUUGCCUUGAGCCAUUGUUGCUGGCUGUCUUCUGUACUUUCUUGAAAUGAUGCUGAAUUUACAGAUGUACCUUUUUCAUUUUCAUUUCUUAUAGGCCCCAUUUGGCUUUGGAAAGUCUUACGACAAGUUGUAAGUUCUUAAGUUAAUGUAAUGAAAUUGAAAUGCAAAAUAAAGGUUAUUCAAAA